GAUGAACGCUGGCGGCGUGCCUAACACAUGCAAGUCGAGCGAUUCUCUUCGGAGAAGAGCGGCGGACGGGUGAGUAACGCGUGGGUAACCUGCCCUGUACACACGGAUAACAUACCGAAAGGUAUGCUAAUACGGGAUAACAUAAGAAAUUCGCAUGUUUUUCUUAUCAAAGCUCCGGCGGUACAGGAUGGACCCGCGUCUGAUUAGCUAGUUGGUGAGGUAACGGCUCACCAAGGCGACGAUCAGUAGCCGACCUGAGAGGGUGAUCGGCCACAUUGGAGCUGAGACACGGUCCAAACUCCUACGGGAGGCAGCAGUGGGGAAUAUUGCACAAAUGGGCGAAAGCCUGAUGCAGCAAACGCCGCGUGAGCGAUGAAGGCCUCGGUCGUAAGACGUCUGUCUCCAAGAAGAAAUAGAGUACGUAGUAGGAGGAAGGACCGGCCGUAACUAACGUACGCACGCAGCCGCCGGUAAAGUAAGACGGUACUA
rnacentral:rRNA from 1 species